GCAACAAUUUUACGAUGAUCAUUCUUGCACAAGAAGGUUCCAGCAGUGAACCAAGGUCGAGUGAAUAUGCCAAGACUAUUUGCUCGGGGCUUCAGAUGAAACAAAGGAAGAAAAUCAUUUAAUAAAUGAUGAAGGUGUCAAUACAAGAACCUGAAGUUAUGGUUGCUUGCUUAUUAUGUAUCCCUACUUCUGGUGGCAGUAAAGCUAACUGGAAGUAUCAGCGAAGCGUUGAGUUAUUGCGAUCAUCAGAGUGUUAUAGGUUCACAUUAGUUGUUAACAAAUAUGACAAGAUGAUCCACCAUGAGUUAGUUCUCCUCUCUCAGAUGUGCUUUGUAAUUCCAAUAGAUGUCAAUGCACAACUUUUUUCAUCAGAGAUUGGCAAUGUGCCAUUUCAAAAAUCAAAACUCAGCGCUUUGUACUAAAUUGUUGUAACUUAUCACUAUGUUUGUAUUGUGCCAUUUGUAAUUUAUGUACAAUUUUGAUA